AGGUCACACAUAUAGACUGGACACAUGGAUGUAUGACAGAGGUCACACAUAUAGACUGGACACAUGGAUGUAUGACAGAGGUCACACAUACAGGCUGGACACAUUGAUGUAUGACAGAGGUCACACAUAUAGACUCGUCACUUUGACAUGAUGAGGUUAAUAAAGAUAAGUAAAUGAAGGAUUUAUUGAAGUUAUCUCUAGGACCUAGGGAUACACCUGAAAUCUACAUAAUCAAGACUAUGAUGUAAAUUUGACAUGCUAUGAUUAGUAUGAAUAAAAGGUUGAUUGUUA